UUUUCACUUCGCGCGCUCUCCUAUACGUGCCUUUCCCAUCAACGUGGAAGACAAACCAGUUCUUGCUUCUGCUGCUGUCAGCUGUCUCUCCAGAUGUUUAAGACCUGUAUUUGGAUGGAUAUCCGAUUAGGGGUGACGCCAAUAAUAUAUGCACCAGCUUCUGUUCUGCUUGAGUUUCCUGGCUUACUGCUCUGUUCCUUUUGAUCUCUCUGCUUGCUGGUUGGAACAAGGUGUUAUAACUAUGUAAAAUGCAUGUAUAUGCGUCUUAUCCUGCUAUGUAAAUAUGUGUUUUGAAGAUCGCCAACUUCUGUUUGACAGAAAACUUGGACAAUACAAUUCACUUUGUGUAACUUACUGGCAUGUACAUUUAUAUUUUUUUUGUUAGCCGGUAAAAAAUAUUGGCGUUGUAACUGAUGUAAAU